UGUGAGCUGUGCCCUCCUUCUGCCCUCCUUCUGCUCCCCGACACAACCAGCCACAGCAGUGAGCUGAAACUCGCCUGUGUUCCAGGGAAUUUGGGGGACUGCAAGCCUCACUGUCAUCUCAUUGCAAAUUAGAAGACAGUUUCAGACAACAGUGCGGACAGAGAGAGAGAAGAACUCUGUGAGAGAGCUGCACUCAGAAAUGGGCCCUUGCCACAGCAACUAUCCUUAUUUCCCACUGAAACGGUGGAACCCGAAAUGAAAUUGUGUCACCAGCAAGGAGUGAAGUAUUUUGCCCUUAGAUGGCUGCAGUCCAAGCAAGUGAAAUUUGUGACUUGUCACUUCAAUGAGAACACUCACACCUGGGACCCUGCGACUGAACAUGUGGAGAUCUGAAAUGUGUCUGAAAAUAAUGGAGUGAAAAGAAAUCAAGUCCCAGUAUGAAGGCAAACCAAGUUUGCUUCUGGAGUGUAUUGAAAACAACAGAAAAAGUUCCUGUUUGCUUCAGACUGUUUUUUUCUACGAGGUUUGCAGUUUUUUCUCUUGCCUGUGUUAAAACAGUAAGAAACUCAGUGACUAACACAAAGUUAUAAUAGAUUUUCUUGCAUUAUUACAGCAUGUCGCAUAAUGCCAACACUGAAAAACAAUAUCUGUACAAAGUUUGUUUUUAGAAUUUCUUGAGAGGAAAUUUAAAAAUGCUCAUUUCUAUUAUUUCCAUUUUACAAAUAUUUAAAAGUAUUUCCUUUUUUAAUUUUCAAUAGUACUGUUUAAAAGUUGUCCUACUCAUAUGUUCUGUUCACUAUGUAUAAAUUUUUCCUUCUAAUAAUUUCUUGACAGGAUAUAUUUACUGUUAUUCAAUCAGCUGUAUUCUUACAACAGUGCUGCUGUAAAUCACUCUGUACUUGUGACUAUUUCCUACAAAAUUGUCAAAUACUUACAGUUCAGAGUCAUGACACUCUUGAGGGAUUUGCUACCAUCUCAAGACUGCAGAGAACCAAAAGGAGUCAAAGAUGACAGUCCUGCUUAGGUGACGAAGCGUAAAGAAGUUUCUUGAUGCCAUAGACUUAUUAAUCACAAACAACACUUCUUAAAUCAGAUGUAUUUUAAGAUUUAAAAAAAUGCUUCUAACAAUUUCUUUCUUCCCUCAUGGUGCCCAGCAGAGGCAACUAGUAAUAUUUAAUAAAAAAUAAAGAUAUUCUGAAUGCUCUUUUGUGUACUGUAGUUGAAUUCUACCUCCUGUCCAAAGUAACAUGAACAAAUCAUGUGUAAAGAUUGUCAUCUGGCAAAUACUGUCAGCCUCUAUCUUCCAAUAGAAUAAAUAUAUUUAAAGAACAUGCAUGUUAGAUGUGUGCUACGUUCUAAUUCUACUUAAAUAAUAUAUGUACUUUACUUAAAUAAUAUAUAUACACACAUAUUAAAUCCUUCCCAGCAGCAACAAAAAAACUAAAUGAAAAUAUAAAUCUUAUUUUUACUUCUACAGAAAAUGCUAUAGUAAUAAAAUCAUAUGAUAAAGGCUUGCCAGUUAAUGAAAUUGAACAUGUCAUUAUAAUGAUGAUUUUAAAGAAGUCCAAAAUGUAAAUUCAUACAUCUUGUCUUUAUCUAGUAUCUUUCUCUGCUUGAGCAUUUAGUUUCUUUAACUUGUGUUUCAUUUACUGUCAAGAAGGUAAAUAGCAUGACCUGGAAAAUAUUGAUCUAGGCAAUGCAGCUGAAAAUAAACAAAACAAACAAACAAACAAACCAAAGCCCCACAUAAUUAUGAAUAACAUUCAGCAAGAUUUGCAUGAAAAUAGAUCUGUCAAAAAUUGUAUUGUUAAAUUCACAAAGUGGAUUGAUAAGAAAAGUGUGCUGAAAUAACAAAUUCCAUAAGGAAUAUAGUCUCCCAAUACAAUAUAUUGGUAUAAUACAGUCUAUGUGAUACAUACAGCAAAUAUUGUACAGGCUAAGUUACCAACGGAAUGUAAAAGGCAAUUGUAAACUGAAAUCAUUGUCCAACAGGGGGUUUCUAGUGGGUCUCUCUGGGAUUUAUUCUGUGUCUACAUACACUGUCCUUGGUUGCGGUAGGAAAAACAGUAUAAAAUCAUUGCUGGUAACAUUAGCAAAUGAUUAAAAAAUAAAAGGUAAAUAGAAAAUAAUGACAGGGACUGAUAAGAUAUAUUGGGGAAAUGAGCUCAUUGUAACACAAGUGAAUGUCAGGUCAUGAUUCCAGGAACAAAGAAACCAAUGUUAAAAUAGGGUUUCCUCCUGCAAACACGUCCUCUAAGACUAGGAAAGAUGGAGGGGAUAUAAGUAUAAACAGCUAGAGCUGCAUGAAAUUACAGCACGAUGUAAAGCCACUUUGGAUUGUAUGAACUUAGAGACAAUGCUACCACAUUGAUGACAAUACUGUGAUUAAUGCUGGAUAUGUCACUUCAGUAUUGUUGACUGUACUUCCUAAAGGAAACUUGAAGAUAAAGAGAAUCAGUGCAAAAUUAGUCUAGUAGCUGAAAUGGUUCUAUAGUGCACUGAUUCUUAAAAAUCCAGAACUCCUAGCAUAGUAAAGGCCAUUUUAAGGAAUAACUCGGUAUCUUAACCUAGUGAAUGUAAAAAAUGUUGCAACUAUUGCAAUUCUUCAGACAGUAGCUAAGUCUAAAGUACAGCUUUUAAGAAAACACUUUACAGAAUGGUUGUUGUCUUCACAUUUUCAUUUACAUGCAUGUUUUAAAACCAGCUAUAAAAAGUGUUUCUCAAUGUACCUAAGAAAGGGGGAAGGUCUGACUCAAGACUUCACCAAAAGGAUUUUUUACCUCCUGCAGGCCACCUCUGACUGUAGAGUCAAUAGCUGUUUCCUUGAGAAAAGAGCUCAGAACCAGGACUGUGCUGAUGUAAUGCUCUGCACGUCUUCUCCCUUCCUGGUCUUGCUGCAUUAAAAUUUGGUUUUGCCCUCUUAGUGCCUUGGAGACUACACUGGACUGCUGGGUUCAGUGUCUGUCUUCAGACAGACACCAUUUCAAAUACAUUCCUAUCUUAACACCCUAGAAAUUAAUUAAUUAUAAAAGAAUGCAUUUUGUACAUAUUUUUUUAAUCUGUAUUUUAAGUCUUUGUUCUUUGAUCUGGUUUUGUUGUUUUAGUUUUUUAUAUUCAGUGAGAUGUAAAAAGCCUAAUUUAUUUUCAUGCUGUAUGAAACACAGAGUUCCAUACCAGGUACAGUAAAGUCUUGGGACAGCAGUGAUUACAAAGAAAACUUUUGACUGGUAAACUGAAGUAAUGGAAAUAAAAUCAAGUAACAUAUAUAUGUAAGCACUUAAGUCCCUAAGGUGUUUUCACAACAAGAUCAUUCUAUAAAAGCCUUUUUUAAUAUAUUUCUUCAUGAUUUUGUCUUCAAUUGCCAUCUGACCUUAAUAAAACUGCCCUGGCUGCUUUACAGGGCAUAACGUACUGUUCCUAAUGGUCUCUUGCAAACAGCAGCAUUUUUAUAGUGUUCUCUGAUAAUCUUUCAGAGCUGAGCCCAGUUCCUGAUAAAUUGGUGUUAUUCUCCCAGGCUGAUUGUGAGCAGUUAUUAAACAGGUAACAUGGUAUAAAACAUAACAAAGGGUUUAUGUCUGCAAAAUUUUAGAUAAAGUGUGAAAAUUUAUAUUUAGGUGGAGAAAAAUUAUUCUUCAUAUGGGUUUCUUUUGUUUGUAAUAGGAGCCACUAAUCCUAAGACCGAUGAAAAUAUUGUGUGUAUUCUAAAUAUUCUGCUCUGCUAAUGCACUGAUUUUAGCAAAGAUUUGCAAUAGUGAUGUUUAUACAUUUUUUAUCACCAAUUAAAAGAUGGGUUUGCACUAUUUUUCUCCAAUGCCUGGGCUUUUUUUAUUGUUUACUGGUCUCUGUUGUGUGAUGUU